rnacentral:rRNA from 1 species
GACGAACGCUGGCGGCGUGCUUAACACAUGCAAGUCGAACGGAAAGGCCCCUUCGGGGGUACUCGAGUGGCGAACGGGUGAGUAACACGUGGGUAAUCUGCCCUGCACUUCGGGAUAAGCCUGGGAAACUGGGUCUAAUACCGGAUAGGACCAAAAGGCGCAUGCCUUGUGGUGGAAAGCUUUUGCGGUGUGGGAUGGGCCCGCGGCCUAUCAGCUUGUUGGUGGGGUGACGGCCUACCAAGGCGACGACGGGUAGCCGGCCUGAGAGGGUGUCCGGCCACACUGGGACUGAGAUACGGCCCAGACUCCUACGGGAGGCAGCAGUGGGGAAUAUUGCACAAUGGGCGCAAGCCUGAUGCAGCGACGCCGCGUGGGGGAUGACGGCCUUCGGGUUGUAAACCUCUUUCACCAUCGACGAAGGUCCGGGUUUCUCGGAUUGACGG